UGGAUCCAGAUGUCUCAAAAAGCUGCAGGAACUCGGCUCUACAGAUGGUCAUGGCAGCACCAGGCAUGCGUAUCUCCCAUCUGAGUGUGAUGGAGGAGCAGAUAAAAUAAAUAGAAAACAGCCUG